AUUUCAGCUGCAAUUCGAGUUUUUCAAGACUUGAGAAUUUUCAGGCUCCCCCAGCAAACCAAGAAGUUCCUCCACUCACCCCACGAACGUGCUCUGGAACGAUAAAGCACUGGUGCCUCUGCAGCUCGAAGGUAAAGCUCUGUGAGUAGAGGGACUUGCUGUAAGCUCAGAGCAGGGGAUGGAGGCAGCAAGUCUGUGACUGCAGCAAAUGCUUUGCACUGAUGGCGUAGUACCCCUCAGGGGGGGCUUAAGCUGUCAGCCCGGCAUGGAGGCAGCGAUAAACUGUUUGUAAAUAAAAAGACAGCUUAAAGCAAACAUGACUGUGUUUAUAAAUGCAGUCUGCCAUCUCAGCUUAUGGUGGUCCUUCCAUCUUGGUGUCUCUUCUGUUGGGUGAUCCUCAUGGUAAUGUGUUUCCUAGGAGCUCUUUUCUAGGAAAUUACCCAAACAGUGUCCCAUCUAAAAACGACCCUGCCAAAUCAGAGCAAUAACUCAUUGCAUUCAACAUUAUAUUUUCUGUUAAUCUAAUUAUUUCUUCAGCUUUGCCAGUGUCAUGCUGCUGACUUCAGAAUCUCUCCCACCCUGAGGUGACUAGUCCAUGGCAUGGUGGGAAGGACCAUGUCUUUCUGCAGUGGAGAAGGGUCCACACCACCCCAACCCCAUUUUGAUGGCAGAACAUCCCCCACCAGAGGUUUGUGAGUAUGUGCUUUACACAUAUGAGAGGAACAAGCGUGCUCAAGCAGGGCCUGGCUUGAGACUCAGUAUCAUGCAUACUUCAUGGGCUAUGGUGCUCUACAGCUGUUAGAAGGAAAUACGCUGCCUUGAAUUGGACUCGAAAAGCAGGGGAGAAGGUCAGGUGCAAUGAAAACAGUGAGCUGCACAACAUUUGCACCUAUUUCUUUGCUAGUGAUACAACUAUACAAAUAGCUUCUAGCAGAACGGCCCCAAAAGGAAGAUACAGAACAAGGAUGCCUGUCUGGAGACUGUCAGAAGCAGUCUAUAGGAUCUAAAGCCCAGCUAUGACAAUUCUGGGAGGAUGUCUGAAAUGUGCCUGCGGUAGAAACAACGUAAAGCCGUUGAGCAGAUUUUUAUAGCAACUGUUCUCAGAAGCUGGCUUAACCCCGCCGUGCCUCUGCUCUUCCAGAGAGAUUUUUGCAUGCUUCAAAACUCGACGCAAGAGGGCUCCAGUUCCAUUUGUCAGGAGAAAUCCCGGCUGCUGAAAAGAGCGCAGCCAGGCUGAGAGGAGCAGCUUCCCGGCGGUGCAGCGCUGGAGCACGGCGACAAAGCAGCGUGUCACUGCCCGCAGAAGUGUCUGGUGUGUGCCUGGCUCGCAGAUCCCCGGGGGAGACGGGAACAGAAGAACCUGGAACAAGCACAGCAGGAAUGUAGCUGUAAAAAUGAAUGCAAACACGUUGUGCGUGAAAGCCUGAGGUUUUGUGCUCGAACACCGGCAUUAGGGGGAGGUCAGGAGGAGUUCACUCUGCUUGCUCCAGCUCCUGCAAUCCGCAGCCUCGUUCACUCUUCCUCUCCUCCUCACGCAGCUCUGAACCAGGCUGUGGUACACAGAAGGAGUGAGAGCUGGCCCUCUCUGAAGCUCACAGUGCUGUUACAGCAAUACUGAUCCCCUGUCAUCUCAGGCUCUGCUCGGUGGUUUGCCUCGUGAAGGUUUCUGUUCUGCACCAGGAUUUGUCCCUGCCAGGCGAGUAUUGCACUGCCCCUCACUGUCUCCCCUGCGAGAACCAUCUCCCUGCUUUUAACAGAGCUUCGUGAACUUCUUCCUGCUGCCUUAGAACGCUGUCAAACUCAGACAAGUGGCAGAGGGCCCAUUACUGCAUGCAGGAUCUCACCCAAACUGUGUUCUCCCCUCGUACGAUUCAGCGUAUGAACGAAUGCUGGCACGAGACAGUGUAUUUUCUCAGGGCUUUAACUUACUUUUUACAAGGAAGGAGUGGUCUGUCUGUGAUGGGAGGGACUGUCUGUGCUUAGCAAGUUGCUGAGCAUGGUACCUGGAUCCCAGCAAAGGCUAAAGGUUAAUCCCGCAAACUGACUUCACUGCCACUUCUGAAAAUCAAGCCCAUGUUGAAUUCCUCUGCACAACGUGGUGCUGUCGUAGGGGGUAGCUCUGGUAGUCCACAGUUUGCAGAGUUUCAUGGCUGAAAUUAUCAGUAUCUCCAGUUUAGUUGCUCUGUGCAGCCCCUUAAAUAUUACCUUUGUAUAAAACCCCACGGCCUGACCCUCCUGAAAUGCAAAGAUCCCUCAUGAAAUUCAGCUUUAGAAAAUGCAGGUGUUGCAACACCUGCCUUUACUCUGACAACACGUUACUGCAAUUAGCUUCCCAAAGCCUUGCUGUAUGGGGAGAGGGAGAUGCACACGAGAACUCCAGGCAUCGCUUGAAGCAACAAGAGCCUCUUUUCUUCGUGGUGCCAGAAUUAAGAGACAAAAAGUUUCAUGGGUGGUCUGCGGUGACGGGGGAGAAAUCUUUUCCUUUCCUUUUCUUUUCCAUCCUCUGCAAACAAGCAGCAAAGAAUAGGUUGCUUUCAGCAGGCGGAAUGUUCCUAUCACUUUUAAUUGCACCUUUCAGCGAAUUUACCAACUGCUCCGUUGCCAUUUAUUGGCCAGGGGGCAAAGUGUGAAAGGUGGUGAUCUGGAGUGUGCUUUGUGGGGCUGAACUCACUGUGAGGUUGGUGAUAUCCAGCCCUUGGCUUGUUUGAUUGCACGGUGCCCAGGCUAAGGGACACGUUUGUGACCCACAGUAAAGAUAAAGCCAGAAAGCUUUACAGGAGAAUAGGUGUUCUGGAUUCUUUCUUAGGGAAAGCAGCUGCCCAUAUUUGCUUGGAUACAAAGUGGAUUCACAGAGUCACUGAAUCAUACAAUGCCAUGUGUUGCCCAUAGUAGUGGUAAGUUUCACAGAAGUUAAUGUUUAAUCAAUGCCUUCCCAUCCACAUGGCAUAGCUCCGAACAGGUCUCAGCAGUGUGAGCCAGCUUCACCAGUUUAGUUGCCAGUGCACCUCCUUCAGCCUCCCUAGCUGUCUCCUGGAGCUAGAUGUGGGUCCCCAUUUAAACACGCUCUUUUAUAACCUGCUGACCGUGGGAAAACACUUUUGUACGCUCCGAUAUUUCAGAGUGUUCCCAUGAACAGUGAAUGCCUGUGUGUGUCCCAGCCCAGGCAGAUUUUCCUCGCACAUGGCCCAGUGGCCAACCAGUGAUGUUGUGUGAUUGGCACAGCUGUGAUUUGUAAACAGGGAUGGAUGGAGGCUCAGGAAGCUGGCUCAUGCCUUGCCUUGCCUGCAGGCUCCCCGUGGUUUUGUGCAUAGUGCAUGGGUACCUCCACUAUCUCUGAGCACCAGGGACCCAGGGCUUUCUCUGGGAUGUGUUAUCUACUCACUUCCACUUGCAGAACUGGGUGCGGGCAGAUGGCAGAUGCCCCUGCCUCCCCUCCUUCGACUGCUUUGAUGUUCACAUUCCUCAUCCCAUCACAGCAGUCAGAAUCAUACAGUCACUGAGGUUGGAAAGACCACUAAAAUCAUCUAGUGCAACCACCAACCCGUGCCUGUGAUCACUGUAGACCAUGUCACCUAGUGCAACAGUGAGAUACUAAAUUUUUGAGGGUUUUUUUGAGUUUUUUGGGAUACUGAGUUUUUUGCCUCGGUCUUCACUGGCAGCCAGUAUUUUUGUAUUUCUCACGUCCCUAAAGCUCACAUCCCUGAGCCUCUAGGUGGGAACCUGGGGGGUAAAUCGCUCCCCUGCCGUAAGGGCAGAGCAAGUCUGAGACCACCUCAUGAGACUGAAUAUAUACAAGUCUAUGGGGCCAGAUGGCAUGCUUUCCAGGGUCAUACAGGAACUCUCUGAUGUGGUUGCUGAGCUGUUCUCCAUCGUAUUUGAAAAGUUGUGGCUGUCAGGCAAAGUCCCCAGGGACUGGAAAGAAGGA